GUGGUAACAUGACAGUGUGUUAUCAGAGGACUGAGACCAGAUGGGGGUGUAAUAGGUGGUGACAUGACAGUGUGUUAUCAGAGGACUGAGACCAGAUGGGGGGUGUAAUAGGUGGUGACAUGACAGUGUGUUAUCAGAGGACUGAGACCAGAUGGGGGGUGAAAUAGGUGGUGACAUGACAGUGUGUUAUCAGAGGACUGAGACCAGAUGGGGGGCUGUAAUAGGUGGUGACAUGACAGUGUGUUAUCAGAGGACUGAGACCAGAUGGGGGGGUGUAAUAGGUGGUGACAUGACAGUGUGUUAUCAGAGGACUGAGACCAGAUGGGGGGUGUAAUAGGUGGUGACAUGAGGGUGGGUAUAAUUUGUGGAACGUUCCAACAGGAAUCUGUUACAAAAACUCUGUAAAUAUCAAGGUUGCCAACAAACAACAUCAAACAAAGUCGUAUAACGGUAGAAUGAGAUACCGGGUAGAGAGUGAACAAUGUAAUAACGUUUUUCAACCACCACGUUUAUUCUGAAAAAUGUCUCUCUUCGUUCUGGUAGCCUCCACCAUUCCUCGUUCGUUGGUUUAGUUAUUAUUUCCGGUGUUCCUGCAUUCGCCAGGUGAACUCUGUUGCGCCUCAAUUAGGGAAUCGCUAUGGUUGAAAUGUAACUAAUGACUGCCAGCCCCAGUAUUUUAUUAGCUAGGUGGCUUGGACACAAUUGUUACCGAUGAUACUGUAUACACCAGCCUACUCGUACUACAGAAACAUACAUUGUAUUUUGCCAAGUUCUGUCUGUGUUAAUCCUGUUUCCCAAAUAUAUCAGCUUGUGUCUGUGUCGAUGUUGUUUAGUUCAAGGUGCCUAGUUAAAUAAAGAUUAAAUAAAUUAGAACAUAUAAAAUAUAUGCUUUGACCUAUUCCAGGUAACCUAAAGAUGCUUGAUUCACUACAGCUGCUUUUGAAGAACUUUCCAGUCGUUUUUGCUUUACAUUCCGACUUUACAUUCCGACUCUACAUUCCGACUCUACAUUCCGACUCUACAUUCCGACUCUACAUUCCGACUCUACAUUCUGACUCUACAUUCUGACUCUACAUUCUGACUCUACAUUCUGACUCUACAUUCUGACUCUACAUUCUGACUCUACAUUCUGACUCUACAUUCUGACUCUACAUUCCGACUCUACAUUCCGACUCUACAUUCCGACUCUACAUUCCGACUCUACAUUCCGACUCUACAUUCCGACUCUACAUUCUGACUCUACAUUCCGACUCUACAUUCCGACUCUACAUUCUGACUCUACAUUCCGACUCUACAUUCCGACUCUAC
rnacentral:lncRNA from 1 species